rnacentral:rRNA from 1 species
CACGUAGGGCGCAAGCGUUGUCCGGAAUUAUUGGGCGUAAAGAGCUCGUAGGCGGACUGUCACGUCUGCUGUGAAAAGCUGGGGCUUAACCCUGGCCUUGCAGUGGAUACGGGCAGACUAGAGGUAGGUAGGGGAGAAUGGAAUUCCCGGUGUAGCGGUGAAAUGCGCAGAUAUCGGGAGGAACACCGGUGGCGAAGGCGGUUCUCUGGGCCUUACCUGACGCUGAGGAGCGAAAGCG